rnacentral:lncRNA from 1 species
CGCUGGGGUGAGUGAGGCCAUUGUCAUGUGCACAGCCUGGGCAAUGGCUUUCCUUGGUUGGAAGGCUGACUGUGCUGAAUCUGCUUGCUGUUGAAGGUCUGGAACUCCAGUCUUUCAGGUAUCAUCUUGCUCUCUGUUGCUGGACCUGUCCUCGUACGCUGCUUGUCAUGCUUCUCUCAGUCUGAACUUUGUGGUGGGGGGGUCCAUACGGUUUGUGCACC